UACGUAGGGUGCGAGCGUUGUCCGGAAUUAUUGGGCGUAAAAGAGCUCGUAGGCGGUUCGGCAAGUCGGAUGUGAAAUCUCCACGCUCAACGUGGAGGGGCCAUUCGAAACUGCCGUGACUCGAGUCCGGUAGGGGAGUGGUGGAAUUCCCGGUGUAGCGGUGAAAUGCGCAGAUAUCGGGAGGAACACCAGUGGCGAAGGCGGCUUUCUGGCCUGGCUCUUGACGCUGAGGCGCGAAAGCUAGGGUAGCAAAC
rnacentral:rRNA from 1 species